UAUAUAUAUAUAUAUAUAUUAGUUUUAAGAAGAGAAUCAUUUCUGUCAUUCUGUGUGUUUCAUUCUUUUCUGAGGUUCUAAUUCACUCUUCCAAGGAAAUUAAAUCUACAAUCCUCUCCAAGGAAGGAAUGAAAAAUUGUCAAGGAAGGAUGUAGGAAAGUAAAAAAUCAUACAAAGUAUUAGCCUGCUGCAAUAUGAGGGGAAAAAUUAUCACGCUCUACCAUGCAUGAAGUGACUCUGAAGUUAGUCACACGAACAGAGACUGGUGAUUUUAGUAUCAUAAGCUUAUUGAGUUUAGUACAUCUUGAUUCUCGGUUUCGUUCAUCUUGCAUUCAACUGAUGCUGCUUUCCAUUGUUCUUUGCCACCAAAUCAAUGAGAUUGCAAUAAGUCCACUUUUUCUUUUCUCUAGCAUUAGGGUCAAGAGAGGAGUAUGCUUCUUCACAUCUUCUGAGAAACUGGCCCUUUCCAAAUGCAGUGAGAACCAGAGGAUCCGUUUGCAUUUCCACACAUCUGUAAAGAAGGCCCAUCCUUCUCCAUGUCUCUAAGAUUCCUGUCCCGUGAAAGCCUAAGUCACAUGCAUCAAAUAGAAUUCCCACAGUGACUAUGUCAGGUUCCACAUGAAGGUUCGUUAACUUGGAGAGUAACAUCCUUAAGUGCGUGAAGUCUUUCAUCUUCAAGUAUGCUAGCAAAAUAAUGUUUGCAAAUGUUACAUUCCAAGAAACCUUUGCUUGUUCCAUCUCUCUAACAAUGGAAUCCAUGCCUUUUUGACUCAAUGAACACGAAUUAGAAAGGAGGUGCAGACACCAAACAAUAUCAGUCUUACCAUUUCUAGAAGAAAGAUCAUCUCCCAAGUCAUCUAAUCUUGAAUACAUGAAAUUUUCAAUAUAAACCACAGCCAUUUUUCUGAUUAAAUCUUCCUUUAAAGUAGCUUUGGAGUUCCACACCCUUCUUAAAAUCUUAUCCAUCUUUUCUACAAUCCCAAAGUUCACAUAAGCCUCAAGCAUGGCAAUCAAAGUAGAAGACCGCAAAUCCAUCCUUUUUGUUCGCAUAGAUUGAUACACCCUUUCCAUUUUAUUAAGCAAACCAGCUUGUGCAAAUUCUUGGAUAAGUAAAUUAUAAGUAAAGCAGUCAGGCGAACACCCAUCCAGCUCCAUCUUCUUCAAGCACAUACCCAUCUCAUCAUACAUUUUGUACUUUCCAUAAGCUUGAAUCAAGCCAUCAUAGGUGUCACUUUCCAAUGGCAAAUUAGUUUCUUUCAUCUGAUUAAGGUAAAACAAGGCAUCAUCGAACUUCCCAUUUCUAGCAUAACUAUGAACUAAGGAAUUGUAUAUUUGUAGGGAAGGGCUCAAACCAAAACUCUUCAUUUCCAUGAAUGCCAAAGAUGCAUCUUCCAUUAGAUCUUCUUCGCUUAAUAAACCUAUAAUCUUCUCAUAAUUGAAUUCAUUAAUUCGUGAUUUCUCUAUGUUCUUCCAAGUAUCAAACACCUGAAGAACUUCCUUCGAUCUGGAGGAAAGUUUAAGGAAUCUGAUGACAGCCCAGAAGUGUUCUUUGGACCAAUCUCCAUCAUCCUGAAGCAUUUCCAAAGGGCAAGAACCCUUCUUGUUCAGCUUAGCAAGCAAGACCUUUAGCCUUCGGUGUUCAUGGUAGCUCUCAACAAGCAGGGUUUUGUGCUUUGUGGAAUUAUCCUGGGGAAUUGUAUGAGGCGGGGCUAAUGGGUGGAGACAGGAUAUGGGUUUUAGGAGUUGGGAGAUGGGUUUUUGGAUUAGGGUUUUGGAGAAGCGGAUUUUGUUAUUGUUGCUCUUACAUUUCCAUGUACAUAGUAUUUUGAGACUAUUCUGCAAAGUACAUAUGUCAUCCAUUACCUCUCCAAAACCUAUUCCAAGUCUGAUUAUAAUUAAAUUUAGUUUCCAACUUGAAGCUGCACUGUUAGAAAUAUACAUACACUCGUUGGUCACAAUAAGAUUUGCAAGUAUUUGUGGUUGAGGAACUCCAAAUGGGAUGGAUUUGGAAGGCGAAGGCGAUGUUGAAUUGCAGAGAAGAGCAAGAGAUGUGAGGAAGCGUGCAGCAACCUGCGCCCUUUUACCACUUCUUUUUGGGGGUUGUUCAUUCCGCAACCCAACUGCAAGAGUAAUUAUAUGAAGGCCUGCUGCCAAACCAAUCACAGAGGGGGAACUAAAUAGCAAUGAAUAUCAUAAAUUUUAAUUUUAUCCAUAUAUUAGAA
rnacentral:misc_RNA from 1 species